CCUCCAAUCUCCUGUCUGGGAAAACACCUGGCUGCUGACAUCUGGGGAGCAGGGCAGAAGAUAGGCCUGAGCAUCCUACUUGUCACUACAGAGAAUUUCUCUUAAUUCCUCUAUUUUCAACCUCCACGACUCCCCUCUGUUGUACCUGGUGUCACUUAUUUUGCAGACUUUAAGUGCUGUCUAAUAGGAACACAAUGCAAACCACAUUUCAACAAGUAGAAACAAACAUGAAAUUAAUUUUAAUACUUUAUCUAACCCAAUAUAUUCAAAAUACUAUUAUUGCAACAUGGAAUCAAUAUAAAGAAGUAUUCAUGGGAUGUUUUACGUUCUUUUUUUGUACUAGGUCUUUCCUAUUUGGUGUGUAUUUUACACCUGCUGCACAUCUUCCUUCAAAACAGCCACAUGUGCUCUUCCGGUUCUAGGCACUUCGGGAGCCACGGCUUAAGGUGCAGACAUGGCCAAGUCCAAGAACCACACCACACACAACCAGUCCCGAAAAUGGCACAGAAAUGGUAUCAAGAAACCCCGAUCACAAGAUACAAAUCUCUUAAAGGGGUGGACCCCAAGUUCCUGAGGAACAUGCAUUUUGCCAAGAAGCACAAGAAGAAGGGCCUAAAGAAGAUGCAGGCCAACAAUGCCAAGGCCAUGAGUGCACAUGCCGAGGCUAUCAAGGCCCUCAUAAAGCCCAAGGAGGUUAAGCCCAAGAUCCCAAAGGGUGUCAGCCACAAGCUCAAUCGACUUGCCUACACUGCCCACUCCAAGCUUGGGAAGCGUGCUCGUGCCCGUAUUGCCAAGGGGCUCAGGCUGUGCCGGCCAAAGGCCAAGGCCAAGGAUCAAACCAAGGCCCAGGCUGCGGCUCCAGCUUCAGUUCCAGCUCAGGCUCCCAAAGGUGCCCAGGCCCCUACAAAGGCUUCAGAGUAGAUAUCUCUGCCAACGUGAGGACAGAAGGACUGGUGCGACCCCACACCCCCGCCCCUGGGCUACCAUCUACAUGGGGCUGGGGUCCUCCUGUUCUAUUUGUACAAAUAAACCUGAGGC